rnacentral:rRNA from 1 species
AUGGUCUAUGUGAGAGUUCUAUGUGGGGUUAGGUGCAUGUCCAUGGGCUUGCGUCAAGAGGAAGAUAUCAUACAACCCAUGGAGAGGAUGACAUCAAGUGGUGAUCGUCAUCAAGAUUGCCGUGUGCAAGUUCAAGUGGAGCAUCACGAAGAGAUCAAGUGCUUGAAGCUUGCCAUACAUUGUGAUGUCAAUGGACUUGUGAAGAUGUGCACCCAUAGUGGAGUAUGGGGGAGCAAUAAUCUAGUCUCCAUCGACCCAACGCAAUCAAGAAAGGUGGUCCAUCUUGAGGAGGACAAGAUCAUCAUCAUCUAG